AUUGAACGCUGGCGGCAGGCCUAACACAUGCAAGUCGAACGCAGUGGGGACGGGUGAGUAACACGUGGGUAACCUCCCAUCAGAGGGGAUAACACUUGGAAACAGGUGCUAAACCGAUACUGAUGGAUGCACCCGCGGUGCAUUAGCUUGUUGGUGAGGUAACGGCUCACCAAGGCCACGAUUCAUAGCCGACCUGAGGGGGUGAUCGGCCACACUGGGACUGAGACACGGCCCAGACUCCUACGGGAGGCAGCAGUAGGGAAUCUUCGGCAAUGGACGAAAGUCUGACCGAGCAACGCCGCGUGAGUGAAGAAGGUUUUCGGAUCGUAAAACUCUGUUGUUAGAGAAGCGGUAUCUAACCAGAAAGCCACGGCUAACUACGUGCCAGCAGCCGCGGUAAUAC
rnacentral:rRNA from 1 species